ensembl:lincRNA
UUUUAUUUGAAUACAGGAGAUCAUUUCGCUCUCCCCGUUUAGGUCAGAGACUGUGGAAAGGUUUCUGAUUUGUUUUCACGUCUCUUUGACGUGCUGUGAGGCCACGCGUUGCUGGUGUUAUUAAUCCCCCGCAGGGCUGUCUAAUUAAUGCCAAUGGAGACCAAUUUCUUCCCAGUGUGAUUUGAACUGGCCAGUACCUUACGCGCAGCUUUAGGGAGGGCGCCUCCUGUAGGCGUGUUUGUUUGCUUUACUUUAAACUGGCCGAGAGUUGUGUCGUCUCGGCAGCUGGAGAAAAUCCUUCUCGCACCCCGGGUAAAAAAAAAAACAGAAAAGGUUUGCCUCAGAAACGGAAAGCUGCUUGAAGUCGAUAAGGGAAGAGGGAAGGUGCACUUUGUAAGAGAAACUUCAAGCCUCCCCCCCUGCCCGCCCAUUAAGUGGUAAUAUUGCAGAAACUCACAUGAAAACACCGGGGCUCGACACAGGCUGGCGAGGCUGGGCUCUGAUAUGCAAAUACGCGGCGGAGCGCGGGGAGAUCACAGGCGUGUCACACUCCCACAGACACACGCAGCAGGCACGGCCCUCAGUGCACCAGCUGACUGGCACUGAGACCCGACCCCCCCCCAGUAAAUCACGGCCUGGAGGCUCGGGGAACAGGAAAGGAUCUGGAAGAACUCGAAGGGAGAGUCCAGCAGCCACAAGCAGUCCCAGACCUGGAGGGCCACCUGGAGCUGCUUUUAUUCCUCUGCUUUCGAGCAUUUGUUGGUGCACGGUCGUCCCUGGCUCUAGUCAGCAUCAAUACGAUGAGGACCGAAGGGGAUUUGGCAGGAGGUCAGGCACUUACCGGCUGUGAUCAGGAAGCCCCCCCCCAGCCUGUAGAGCUUGGCGCUCACGAAGGGCACGGCGCACACCAGGAGGAACCCCCCUGCCAGGCAGCAGACCACCGCCAGGACGAUGAACACGGUCCAGAAGCCCCGGAACACUGCGGAGGCGCGCGGCCAGAAAACACAGAGCACAGCGCCGUCAGGCUUAGUAAUGGAGCGUCACAGAGCUGCAGCUUGGCUAUGGGGGGGCGUCACUGCAACAGGAAGGGAGGGUGUAUACAUCUGCGUGUUCGGAGUGCCGCUCGGUCAUGUCACAGGACCAAGACCUCAGAUCAGGUCGGCCCUGGCCGUCAAAAACACCUUGAGUGUUAAAUGCAAGGAGCUUGUCUUGAAUGUGUCUUAAACUCCGAAGAAUCCUGGAGGGGAAAGCUGUCUUAGGGCGUCUGUGUAACUGGUCAACCAGAGGAUCAGACGAUCAGAGCGACACAAGAGCAUCAGAGGCCAAACCGAGCCGCGUGCUGCUGUCUGCUGCAGUUGCUGUCUGGGACUCUGUUUCCAAUCUUUUCUUUCCUGUGGGCUUCUUCAUUCAUUGCUUACCUGUGAUUUAGCUGUCUGGGACACAGCUGCCACAGUAUGGCAAACACCAAGUCUGCUCCUUGGUGGCAGAAACUGUGAGGUUCCAGCACAAAGCUGGGCGGGGGGGAAUGAAAAAGUCCUAACAGAGGAGGACAGAGCUACAGCAAUCCUUUACAUCCCCCUAGACUCAUUCCUGACUUGCCGAGAGAGGAUAACCCAACCCAAUCAUUCCCAUUCUGAGGCUGGUUGACUGAGAGAGGGCUCACCUGCUGUGGCAUCGUAGGAGGGGUGUGGAACUGGCCCGAUCGCAAUGGGCAGAGGAAAGAGGUACCCAUGAACGCAGAACUUGUGUGGAGGCUGAUUAGCUGCAAUUACAGAGAGGCCUGUGUCAGCGGUUGGCUACAGUAGAUUAUUAAACAACUGGUUCACCAUGAACUGUUGGAUGUUAGUCUUUCUAUCCGUAAGGAUGUGAUUGGCAUCUUUCAGGUGAAACACCAGCUAUCGUAAAGAGCGCUGAUGGGCACAGGGCAUCUGGUCGUGAUUUGCAGUAGCCGAAGCAGCAAAAUGUCUGUACCUUAGUGUUAUUUCAAGGAUAAUUUUAACAUUCACAUUACAAAACAGUCUGUGCAUUCAGAGCAUCGAGGCCGCCUCUAUGUCCCUCUGUCUGUCUGGCUGUCUGUCUCCCCUGGUGGGAGUGCGUGCAGCGCUGAGACUCACUGAAGAGGAAGGCCCAGAAGGUGUGCCAGGAGCUGUCCUCUCUGAACCAGCAGCGCCAGAAGAAGCCCUCGUGGUGGAAGAUGAGAGCAGAGACAGUGUCUGUUCCCGUCGUUGUGACCUUCUCUGUUACUGUCCGGUUUUCGGCCUGGGAGAGAAGGGGGCGCAGAGACUGGUGAGCAUUAACACAGAACUGGUGAGCAUUAACACAGAACUGGUGAGCAUUAAAACAAAACUGGUGAGCAUUAACACAGGACCCCCAGUAAUCUUGGGUGUGGCUCUGUGAGGCAGGGGGCUGCACUGAGUCCCCUGUGGCCUCCAUCCCCUGCACUGUAACAUCCUGACUGCCUUCUGUGUGUCCUGUAUAUGUCACCCACAAACCUGCAGAAACAAGUGCUGUGUCUGUGCUGUUCCAUUCUGGCUGCUCCCUCAGCUCUCUGCUUCAUCACACUGUACCAUCGCUCUGUCUCAGCCAGGGGAGCAGCGCAGCCUACUGGCCACUGUAGAGAAGUGUGUAAGUGACGGGCAGCGGUAACUUUUAUUUGCGAUUGUAAAGUUGAGCACAGUUCUCUUUAUGCACAGUGGCUGGUGAUAAUCUGGACCGUCCUUUGCAGUGCAGCAUGACCCCAAGCCAAUGAUAAGCAGAGCCCUGGUCAUCAUAGCUAUAUACGGCUCUGACAGGCUCUGGCUCACUCCUGCUUGUUGAUGGGAAAUGUGAAUCAUCACUGAGCAUGCCACUGUGAUAAUGAUCCUCGCUGCUCACUAGUUCCAGUCCGGCACUGUCUUCUUCCUCAAAGAGGAAGUGGCUGCCAGCUGGGAGACUCUGAUGAAUCUGGGUCACAGUGACAGCUUCCCUCAACACCACACGGAGGAGGGAAUUAGUGUAAUGAAAAUUGUGGAGAAGUACAGAGAGAGAGGGUGUAUACACCAGCCCUGCUGUACAGAUUGCCUCUCACUGUGCUGCUCCUGGGAGCGCCCGGGCUUUCUGAUGUUUUCAUGGUGUCUAGCCAGAUGAGAUUUGGCAGGGAGCAUCUGUCUUGAUUAAAAAACUUUUCGCAGGCAGAGCCAGAACGCCUGUUGAGCUGGUCUUGUAUCCUGUCAGAGCUCUUUUCCCCUAAGGCUCAGUUAGUCUCAUGCUUCAGCGGGGACCCACUGCAGACAAGUGCAGUAGACUUUGAUUUACUCCUUCAUUUGCCUGGCCCAGGGGCACCCCUGCUGCGCGCGGGGGCCUGUCGUCCAGGGGCGUCCUUAAAAGAGGACCAGCAAUACAGACAACUGAAAAUUCCCGUCAAUAGAAAGUGCCGUCACUCCUAUAAAGGAGAACGCGUUCAUGCAAACCUAGAACGGAGACAUCUGCGUUCUGAUCCGUCUUGAAAUCCAUGCUUUGACAUCAACAUCUGGGUUAAUCUGCUGAUCUGCUGUCAUAUGCAGUUCUCUCUGGUCAAGACUCUUCUCCAUCAUAGAGGUGACCACUGACUGACCACAUGAGAGCUUCUUUUAACCAUACUGUCCCUUUGCACUGCGUUCAGCUCCAGUGGAGCCAUAGAGAGGGAGGCGGUUGAUAGGAUGAAUUUGAUCCUCUCUCUUUGUUGCAAGCGUGGAAAAUGGAGGUAUUGCAAUAACAAUUGUACAGUACUUUCAGUUCAGGCAGUGGCACGGUCUGCUGAAUGACAUAUUCGCUCGUUUUAAAACUUUGCGGCAGGUAUGGGAAUGUGUGUGUGGGAAGGGUGUGGCAGCAAAUCUAGCUACUUCCUCGCUUAAAAUAAUCCCUCCAUCCACUUGUUCCCCAGUCUGUCCGCCCAUCGGGUACCUGGGUUGUGCUGGAAUUCCAAGAGGCCAGGUGUUUGUGCUGGGUCUGGGUCACCUCAUUGUUUGUGUUUGGAGUGGGUGUCUGUGUUCUCUGUAAGACAGUCUUCUGGCUGAAAGGCUGAAAGUAAUGAUCAAUUACUGAACAGCAGCCCAUUUGUUUUAUUUUCAGUAUUUAGUAAUCCGAUCAUCCUGAUGCCACAAAUCACUGACCGGCAGCUACAAGACUGUUAUAACUCAGGAUAUUGCAAGAGUGCUAUUUUUUUGUGCGAUUUACUUAGGUUUGCUCACAGAGGCUACUGACAUAAGUAAAUCCUGGUAGAAAGUUUUCUAAAAGGCCGGCCCUGGUGUGGAGCACAGUUAAUAGCAGCGGGCUGCCGAGCAUUGUGCGACGCUGAUUUGGGUCCCCCCGGCAACCACCUACUGUAGCAAUCAGCUGCGUGGGGCCCCUUUCUCAAGAAAUCGUCUCUCUGCUGGUUGUUACCCGUCCUGUUGUGACGAACGCCGCUCAGGAAAAGCCCAGGUGCCAAUCCCACACCAGUGAUGUGCUACAGCAGGCCGGGGAAGUCACAGACUGUCUGGGCUUCUCACAACAGCCACCCAAUCCUGAGGCAGACCCCUGAAGCAGAUCUGUUUGCGCCUU